AUGAAUAGAAAACAUUACACUGAAGAUCCUGCUGUUUUAUUAGUCUGUUUUACUGUGGGCUUUACCCCAAAGGUCUGUUUUACUGUGGGCUUUACCCCAAAGGUCUGUUUUACUGUGGGCUUUACCCCAAAGGUCUGUUUUACUGUGGGCUUUACCCCAAAGGUCUGUUUUACUGUGGGCUUUACCCCAAAGGUCUGUUUUACUGUUUACCCCAAAGGUCUGUUUUACUGUGGGCUUUACCCCAAAGGUCUGUUUUACUGUGGGCUUUACCCCAAAGGUCUGUUUUACUGUGGGCUUUACCCCAAAGGUCUGUUUUACUGUUUACCCCAAAGGUCUGUUUUACUGUUUAACCCAAAGGUCUGUUUUACUGUGGGCUUUACCCCAAAGGUCUGUUUUACUGUGGGCUUUACCCCAAAGGUCUGUUUUGCUGUGGGCUUUGCCCCAAAGGUCUGUUUUACUGUUUAACCCAAAGGUCUGUUUUACUGUGGGCUUUACCCCAAAGGUCUGUUUUACUGUUUAACCCAAAGGUCUGUUUUACUGUGGGCUUUACCCCAAAGGUCUGUUUUACUGUGGGCUUUACCCCAAAGGUCUGUUUUACUGUUUACCCCAAAGGUCUGUUUUACUGUUUAACCCAAAGGUCUGUUUUACUGUGGACUUUACCCCAAAGGUCUGUUUUAAUGUGUGUUCACGAGAGCUUGCGAUUAAUCCUAAAUGAUUAAUCCUUAGAAAAGAGAUGAUGAAAUGAUGAAUCCAUAGAAAAGAGCCGAAAAAUAAGAGAUGGUGAAAUUAUGAAUUUGUCCCUAAGAAGAAAAGAACGAAGUGCACGGCAUCCAUAUUAGGACAGCAUAAGUGCACGGCAUCCAUAUUAGGACAGCAUAAGUGCACGGCAUCCAUAUUAGGACAGCAUAAGUGCACGGCAUCCAUAUUAGGACAGCAUAAGUGCACGGCAUCCAUAUUAGGACAGCAUAAGUGCACGGCAUCCAUAUUAGGACAGCAUAAGUGCACGGCAUCCAUAUUAGGACAGCAUAAGUGCACGGCAUCCAUAUUAGGACAGCAUAAGUGCACGGCAUCCAUAUUAGGACAGCAUAAGUGCACGGCAUCCAUAUUAGGACAGCAUAAGUGCACAGCAUCCAUAUUAGGACAGCAUAAGUGCACGGCAUCCAUAUUAGGACAGCAUAAGUGCACGGCAUCCAUAUUAGGACAGCAUAAGUGCACGGCAUCCAUAUUAGGACAGCAUAAGUGCACGACAUCCAUAUUAGGACAGCAUAAGUGCACGGCAUCCAUAUUAGGACAGCAUAAGUGCACGUCAUCCAUAUUAGGACAGCAUAAGUGCACGUCAUCCAUAUUAGGACAGUGUCAGUGUACGGUAUCCAUAUUAGGACAGUGUCAGUGCACAGUAUCCAUAUUAGGACAGUGUCAGUGCACGGUAUCCAUAUUAGGACAGUGUCAGUGCACGGUAUCCAUAUUAGGACAGUGUCAGUGCACGGUAUCCAUAUUAGGACAGUUUCACUGCACGGUAUCCAUAUUAGGACAGUGUCACUGCACAGUAUCCAUAUUAGGACACCUCCCAAGUGGUGCAGGUGUCUAAGGCACUGCAUCUCAGUGCUAGAGGUGUCACUACAGACCCUGUUUCGAUUCCAGGCUGUUUUGUAACCGGCCGUGAUUGGGAGUCCCAUACGGCGGCGCACGAUUCGCCCAGCGUUGUUAGAGUUUGGCCAGGGUAGGCUGUCAUUGUAAAUAAUAAUUUGUUCAUAACUGACUUGCCGAGUUGAAUAAAGGUUAAGAAGUAGAUCCUGGAUGGAACAGAAUAUUUUGCCACUUUAAUUUGUCUGAAAAAUGUGUCCCAAAUGACACCCUUUUCACUAUUCAGUGAACUACUUUUCACCAGGGCUCAUAGGGCUCUGGUCAAAAGAAGUGCACUGUUAGAGAAUAGGAUGCCAUUUGGGACUCAACCAACGAUCAGUGAUUAGAUGAGGAAGGAAUGAUUCAGAUGUCAACAGACACUGAUGAGAGCUGUCGGUCUGAUCCACCAACAUUCUUCUUCUUCUCCCUCUUCUACCUCCUCCUCUUCUUCUUCUUCCUCUUCCUCCUCAUCUUCCUCUUCUUCAUCUUCCUCCUCCUCAUCUUCCUCUUCUUCAUCUUCCUCCUCCUCAUCCUCCUCUUCUUCUUCUUCUUCUUUCUCCUCCUCUUCUUCUUCUUCUUCUUCUUCUUCUUCUCAUUUCCUGUGAGUGAGAGAGUUACUUAUUAGGCUGCAAUUACCUGUCUUCUAGGAAGGUACUCAAGAAACAUCAGCCCCAUAAAGACUCAGUGGCUUCCUCUAAAGUGAUAUUACGUGCAGAGGCAUGAAUAGACAGAAGGGAGGAGGGAUGAAGAGAGAGAGAGAGGGAGGAUAUUCUAAAGGAAGAGUGGUAUAAUGAACGGACAGAGUGAGAUGAAGGCUUUACAGAACAUGCCAUUGUCUUUGGAGUCUGACACACCACUCAGACAGAAGAGAAGCUUCUUUAGAAUUAAUUUAAGCUAUUUUCUACACGGCUAACAUCCUUCAUAGCCACAUCACAUUUCAAAAUUAUCUCUUUUAUAACAAGGAACAAAAAAUAUCUCUCACCAUCUGGAGUGAAUUAAUCAAUCAAUGAAUUAACAGCCACACUACAUUGAGAUUAACAGUGUGUCGGAAAUGGCCCUAGACACUGAGUGUACAAAACAUUAAGAACACCUUCCUAAUAUUGGGUUGCACCCCCUUUUGCCCUCAGAGCAGCCUUAAUUAGUUGGGGUUUGGACUCUACAAGGUGUCAAAUGUGUUCUACAGGGAUUCUGGCCCAUGUUGACUGUAAUGUCUGACCAAGUUGUGUCCAGUUGGCUGGAUGUCCUUUGGGUGGAGGACAAUUCUUGAUACACACAGAAACUGUUGUGCGAAAAACCCAGCAGCUUUUCAGUUCUUGACACAAACCGGUGCGCCUGGCACCUACUACCACACCCCGUUCAAAGGCACUUAAAUAUUUUGUCUUGCCCAUUCACCCUCUGAAUGGCAACACAUACACAAUCCAUGUCUCAAUUGUUUCAAGGCUUAAAAAUCCAUCUUUAACCAGGUCUCCUCCCCUUCAUCUACACUGAUUGAAGUGGAUUUAACAAGUGACAUUAAUAAGGGAUCAUACCUUUCACCUGGAUUCACCUGGUCAGUCUUUGUCAUUAGAAUAGCAAACGUGUUCUUAAUAUUUUGUCCACUCCUUGUGCAGUGCACUACUA
rnacentral:lncRNA from 1 species